CUCAGCUAUAGACAAAGUUGCUGGCCCAGAGAGCCUUGGUCCAAACCCUGACCUCAGCGCUCUGUACUUUUGCAGAGUCUUCUGUAGUUCUGCCAUCCAUCUUUAGGGACUUGGGCCAUGAGACAGCCAUGACAGCCUGCGUGCAUGAUUCCUCUUCUGUAGUUCUGCUAUCCGUCUUUAGGGGCUUGGGCCAUGAGACAACCAUCGCCAACUCCCUCCUUUGGGCCAGACAGUCUUGAUGUCUUCCCUGGUGGUUAUGGAAUUGAGAUGGGAAAUUAAGAAUGUAACUGUUUCAGGCGAUGGAGUCUGGAACCCACGAGGCUUGUUAAUGAUAUCCAUUUUCAUUAUCAGCAGACCUCAGAGCCAGGAUUCCUGCUUUACUCCACAAAGUUGUUGUCUGACUGCCAGCUCUGUGGUCCCAAGAGCCAGCUUGAAGGAAGAGUCCCAGAGGGCCUGACUCCAGGGAGGCGAUGAUGCUUUAAUGAGCCAUGGUUCAAUUCCUCUUUGGCUCUUUCUACAACUCCAGGUGGGAUGCCUCUAUAGAUCACUGGAUAGACCGGAUCUGACAGAUGUGCAGACUGAGCUCAGAGGCCCAAACACAGCAAUCAAGGCAGAAGGCUGGUCCAGCAGGCAGGACUCUUGCUUGCCAGAAGGAAGUAUGGGGACUUCAUGAGCCAAGCAGAGCUGGAGAAAUCUUCUUGGAGGAGGGAAC